GCAGUCGUGGCCGAGUGGUUAAGGCGAUGGACUUGAAAUCCAUUGGGGUCUCCCCGCACAGGUUCGAAUCCUGCCGACUGCG
rnacentral:tRNA from 1 species